rnacentral:rRNA from 1 species
AACGAACGCUGGCGGCAUGCCUAACGCAUGCAAGUCGAACGAGACCUUCGGGUCUAGUGGCGCACGGGUGCGUAACGCGUGGGAACCUGCCCUUAGGUUCGGAAUAACUCCCCGAAAGGGGUGCUAAUACCGGAUAAUGUCUUCGGACCAAAGAUUUAUCGCCUUUGGAUGGGCCCGCGUUGGAUUAGCUAGUUGGUAGGGUAAAAGCCUACCAAGGCGACGAUCCAUAGCUGGUCUGAGAGGAUGAUCAGCCACACUGGGACUGAGACACGGCCCAGACUCCUACGGGAGGCAGCAGUGGGUAAUAUUGGACAGUGGGCGAAAGCCUGAUCCAGCAAUGCCGCGUGAGUGAUGAAGGCCUGAGGGUUGGAAAGCUCUUUUACCCGGGAUGAUAAUGACAGUACCGGGAGAAUAAGCUCCGGCUAACUCCGUG